rnacentral:rRNA from 1 species
UACGGGGGGGGCAAGCGUUGUUCGGAAUUACUGGGCGUAAAGGGCUCGUAGGUGGCCAACUAAGUCAGACGUGAAAUCCCCAGGCUUAACCUGGGAACUGCGUCUGAUACUGGAUGGCUUGAAUUCGGGAGAGGGAUGCAGAAUUCCAGGUGUAGCGGUGAAAUGCGUAGAUAUCUGGAGGAACACCGGUGGCGAAGGCGGCAUUCUGGACCGAUAUUGACGCUGAGGAGCGAAAGCCAGGGGAGCAAACGGG